GGCUAAAUAAAAAUGGAACUAAAUUGGAAUAUCUAGAAUUCUCUUCAUUUCUCUUCAUAUUCAUCAGCUGAAAAACAGCCAUGGAGGAGGGUUCAAGCUGGUUUUCAUACUCUAGCUUCAUAGGCUCGUUAGCUCGCUUGUUUCGGACAAGCCGGAGUUGCACAUCACACUAUCCAAUUUUCGAUUAGUACUUUUGAUCUUGUGGAUAUAUGUGAAUAUGGCAUGUAUAGGCUAGUUUGAAAGAUGUGAGUUAUGUCACUUGAUAUCAUGAUUGUGGUAUAUUUUUGUGUAUAAAUAAGCCAUGAGAUUUGGCUUAUUUUGAUGUUAUGUUUUGGUUGAAUUGAAGUGUUCAAUUAUGGUAUGUUUUGGCAAGGAAUGAUGGAAUGAAAAUGUGUAAGUGAAGUUUUGUUAUGUAGUUGAUAUAUGAAUGGAUUAUACAUGGUAUUAAGUAGGUAAUUGAAUAUCAAGUUGAAUUGGUAUA